GGACUGUUCCAGAAGAUGAUGAGUAAUCAAUUGAAUGGCAUGUGAUUGAAAGGUUCAAGAAUAACUUUUGGAUAAAACCAUUGGGACAUGUGAUUAUUGCAUAGACAACCCUUUUGAAGGAACACUAUGAGCAAGUUUUCGUCCAAUUAUAUAAAUACUUAUGGAAUUUCUUAUAGCUGUAAUUUUUGCUCUCAAUAAUCCAUCUUGAAACUAAUCUCCCUUUUUCGCUUAUGGUACGGCCAAUUCCAAUGGAUUUAUGGCAAUUGGCACUAAUCUAGUGGAUUUAUGGCUAUUGGUAUUUAAUUCCACUUGUGAGUCCAAAAUGAUCUCACAAGGCCUGGGUUUAAGCUGAAAUAUUGGGUGGAAGUAAAAGAGGGUAGUUUUAGAGGUUGAGGGACAAGAGUAGCGAAUGAUAAUCCCCAGAAUGGUUCAGUAAUGGCCAGAGUCAUAGCCAGCAGAGUAAACUAGUUUUAGAUUGUCACUUGAGAACUUGAGAUAAUAUCUAGGAAGUGAGUGCAGGAUGGAUGGUUUAGGGAAAUGUAGCAGUUUGAUAAAAUCUUAACUUCUUGAGGAACUGGUGAUCAUGUUGAACCCUAAUGAUUGAAAUUGUUUAGGCCACUGCAAAUGAAUUUGCCCGACUCAGGAACUGUGAUAGAAAAUUGUUCCUGGACUUUGAUAACAUAGCCAGCAAAACAUAUAGGCUCACAAAGUGAAAAUGUUUGAGAGUUUUUAUAUAUUAGCAUAGAAUUAUAAUGUGUUUGGUAGAACAUGGAUGGAUCACUGGAGCCGAGCUCAAUUGGUUCGGAACUAGGCCUUCAUUAGUAGUGCAUGUGCUUGUUAAACUUGGCAUUGUUUACAUUGUUAACAUUGACCAAAAGGAAUAGAAGGGGGGAGCAAAUUGUCUUACAGGAUUAUUAAGCAGCAUCAUGAUUAUGGAAUAAUCUGGUCUCAAGACAUGUUUUAAACUCUUUAAUCUAUGUGAAAAUUUGUCAACUUCCCUGAUACUCAUAGCGUAUUUUUAUGAUAAAAAUAAGAACUUGCUUACUUUACACUGCUGCUCAGUUGAUAUGUAUUUUUAUUGUAACUUGAAUAGAAAAUCUGGAUCAUGCAAACGCUACUGCUUCAUUUCCAUAGACUUCUGAUGCUGAAAUUCACUAUGCA
rnacentral:misc_RNA from 1 species